rnacentral:rRNA from 1 species
UACGUAGGGUGCGAGCGUUGCCCGGAUUUAUUGGGCGUAAAGGGCGCGUAGGCGGCCACGCACGUCCGUUGUGAAAUCGCCCGGCUCAACUGGGCGGGGUCAGCGGAUACGGUGUGGCGUCGAGCAAGCUAGGGGGCAAUGGAAUUCCCGGUGUAGUGGUGGAAUGCGUAGAUAUCGGGGAGGAACACCAGUGGCGAAGGCGGUUGCCUGGAGCUUUGCUGACGCUGAUGCGCGAAAGCGUGGGGAGCGAUCCGGC